rnacentral:lncRNA from 1 species
GAGCCCUAGGGUAUGAGAGAUUGCCGUAUAUUUGAGAGAGACUCUUGUUUGUGAGGCUAGGGUUCUAGAGAAGAAGAGGAUUGGGAUCCUACUUCUUGUGCAAAGGGAAUUCUGUGUGAAUCUCUUGUAGAUCGAUCGCUUGUGAUCGUUCUGGUAUGUGCUAUCUCUGUAAUCUGUUCAUCCUAGUAGAGAUUUGGAGCGGUGGAGGACGUAGGCUACUUGUAGCCGAACCUCGUUACAUCUUUGUGUUUGCUUUGCUAUUUUCUUCCUUCUUCUUCCUUUGAUCUUUGAUAAUCUGCUGCGGUGCUCAAGUGUUUUACCCUACUGAUACUAGGGAUAAUCUUUUGCCCUUCGCAGCGGAAGCGAAGUGGUGAUCCUUGAGUCCGGUGUCGAGGGAGCGAGAGAGUGCUUAUCCGUUUGUUCUCCCUUUUGCUUGUCCGACGUCGGUGGCGGUGCCGGUGUGAGUGGGUUCCGGCGCGGGCGCUGACAACAAGUGGUAUCAGAGCUAUUGGUAUUUUGCG